rnacentral:rRNA from 1 species
GACGAACGCUGGCGGCGUGCCUAAUACAUGCAAGUCGAGCGCAGGAAGCUGACGGAACUCUUCGGCGGGAAGGCAGUGGAAUGAGCGGCGGACGGGUGAGUAACACGUAAGGAACCUGCCUCAAGGAUUGGGAUAACUCCGAGAAAUCGGAGCUAAUACCGGAUAGUUCAACGGACCGCAUGGGCCGCCGAAGAAAGGGCCUCCGGCGUCACCCUGAAAUGGCCUUGUGGUGCAUUAGCUAGUUGGUGGGGUAACGGCCCAACAAGGCGACGAUGCAUAGGCGACCUGAGAGGGUGAUCGGCCACACUGGGACUGAGACACGGCCCAGACUCCUACGGGAGGCAGCAGUAGGGAAUCUUCCACAAUGGACGAAAGUCUGAUGGAGCAACGCCGCGUGAGUGAUGAAGGUUUUCGGAUCGUAAAACUCUGUUGUAAGGGAAGAACACGUACGAGAGGGAAUGCUCGUACCUUGACGGUACCUUACGAGAAAGCCACGGCUAACUACGUGCCAGCCGCCGCCGUAACAC